AUGCAAAAACAACAGCAAGAUGGAAGAUGGUCCAGGCCUCCACCGGGAACUCUGAAAAUCAACACAGAUGGUGCCUUCUUGAAGGAGACAAAUACUGGAGGCUGGGGCUUUGUUAUUAGAGAUGAUUGUGGUGAGGUGAUGGCUGCAGGUGCAGGCAAUCUAGAGCGAGUCUCUGAUGCACUUCAUUCCGAGGCGUUGGUGAUGCUUUAUGCCAUAAACACAGCCAUUCAGCUAGGUUGUGAUAAAGUAAUAAUUGAAACUGAUUCCAUACAACUGAAGAAUGCAACAACCACUGAAGACUUCGACUUGUCAGCAUUAGAUGCUAUAUUCAGAGAUAUUAAGGCUCAGUUGUACAUAGGUUUCAAUGAUGUAUGUGUGGUGUCUUGCCCUCGAUCUUGUAACGUAGUGGCGCACAAGCUAGCUACUUACGGAGCUAAGCUAGGAGCUAGCUUAUGUGAAGUUUGGCUUGGGCAGGUCCCAGAUUUUGUAAAUAACGUUGUGGCUGGCGAUGUGUCCAGUUCUGUAAUGUAA
rnacentral:rRNA from 1 species